rnacentral:snRNA from 1 species
GUUCUAAGUAAUGGAUUUUAGACAAAAUAAAGAAAAAAAAAAAAGGUUCUCCCAGGGCGAGGCUCAUCCAUUGCACUCCGGGUGUGCUGACCCCUGCGAUUUCCCCAAAUGCGGGAAACUCGACUGCAUAAUUUGUGGUAGUGGGGGACUGCGUUCGCGCUCUCCCCUG